CCUGUUUUUAGCCGAAAAAGGCAUCCAAAGGGCACACUCUCUCGAUCCCUCGCAGAUCUCACUCUCUCCCAAUCCCUCAAAGCCAGUGCUGACUUUAGAUCAAUUCACGUAAUGGUCUUCCCAUUUACCCUCGCAUGGAGGGUAGCUGCUCUCUCUCCCAAAUAGCGGCCUCCUCUUCCUCUUUCACAACAGCUGAACCUCGCAAGACUAGCUCAGAAAGGCUGAUAUCGCCCUACCAACCAGCUUAAUCGCAGUUUGUUGGGUACUGUAGAGUUCCAGAGAUAAUGGGUAUUUAUCUAUUUGGUCAUUUCUUGAGAGUUCUGCGAUAGCCGCUUUGAUGGUGGUAAGGUUGAUAAUGGGUUUCGAUUAAUUGAGGAACCCUUGAAAAGAGCAUGGAGUUAUUCAGAUUUUGAUCCUAUUUCGAAAGAAAAACCGAGAACUAAUGUGGAUGAAGCCGAGCACCAAUGGGUUUUCUUGGAUAAUGUCAAGAUUGAUGCCAGGAGAGUUCUUGAUGUUCUCGAGCAAGAUGGCCGAUAUGAAAUUGGCUCUAGACGAAUUGUAUAUAAGGCUUUCGGGGCUUCUCGUCAAGGGAAGUUCUAUUGGAGAUUUUGCAUAAUGUACACCAUAUUUGUUCC